rnacentral:rRNA from 1 species
AGCUGACCAGCCAUGCCGCGUGCAGGAAGACGGCCUUCUGGGUUGUAAACUGCUUUUCUACGGGAAGAAAAUGCCCUUGCGAGGGAAAUUGCCGGUACCGUAGGAAUAAGCACCGGCUAACUCCGUGCCAGCAGCCGCGGUAAUACGGAGGGUGCAAGCGUUGUCCGGAUUUAUUGGGUUUAAAGGGUGCGUAGGCGGAUCUUUAAGUCAGUGGUGAAAGCCUGCAGCUUAACUGUAGAACUGCCAUUGAUACUGGAGGUCUUGAGUACACUAGAGGUAGGCGGAAUUUAUGGUGUAGCGGUGAAAUGCAUAGAUACCAUAAAGAACACCUAUAGCGUAGGCAGCUUACUGGAGUGUAACUGACGCUGAGGCACGAAAGCAUGGGGAGCGAACAGGAUUAGAUACCCUGGUAGUCCAUGCCGUAAACGAUGAUUACUCGAUGUUGGCGAUAUACUGUCAGCGUCCAAGCGAAAGCGUUAAGUAAUCCACCUGGGGAGUACGCUCGCAAGAGUGAAACUCAA